GGGUUGUGAGGUUAAGCGACUAAGCGUACACGGUGGAUGCCCUGGCAGUCAGAGGCGAUGAAGGACGUGCUAAUCUGCGAUAAGCGUCGGUAAGGUGAUAUGAACCGUUAUAACCGGCGAUUUCCGAAUGGGGAAACCCAGUGUGAUUCGUCACACUAUCAUUAACUGAAUCCAUAGGUUAAUGAGGCGAACCGGGGGAACUGAAACAUCUAAGUACCCCGAGGAAAAGAAAUCAACCGAGAUUCCCCCAGUAGCGGCGAGCGAACGGGGAGCAGCCCAGAGCCUGAAUCAGUGUGUGUGUUAGUGGAAGCGUCUGGAAAGGCGCGCGAUACAGGGUGACAGCCCCGUACACAAAAAUGCACAUGCUGUGAGCUCGAUGAGUAGGGCGGGACACGUGGUAUCCUGUCUGAAUAUGGGGGGACCAUCCUCCAAGGCUAAAUACUCCUGACUGACCGAUAGUGAACCAGUACCGUGAGGGAAAGGCGAAAAGAACCCCGGCGAGGGGAGUGAAAAAGAACCUGAAACCGUGUACGUACAAGCAGUGGGAGCCUCUUUAUGGGGUGACUGCGUACCUUUUGUAUAAUGGGUCAGCGACUUAUAUUCUGUAGCAAGGUUAACCGAAUAGGGGAGCCGAAGGGAAACCGAGUCUUAACUGGGCGUUAAGUUGCAGGGUAUAGACCCGAAACCCGGUGAUCUAGCCAUGGGCAGGUUGAAGGUUGGGUAACACUAACUGGAGGACCGAACCGACUAAUGUUGAAAAAUUAGCGGAUGACUUGUGGCUGGGGGUGAAAGGCCAAUCAAACCGGGAGAUAGCUGGUUCUCCCCGAAAGCUAUUUAGGUAGCGCCUCGUGAAUUCAUCUCCGGGGGUAGAGCACUGUUUCGGCAAGGGGGUCAUCCCGACUUACCAACCCGAUGCAAACUGCGAAUACCGGAGAAUGUUAUCACGGGAGACACACGGCGGGUGCUAACGUCCGUCGUGAAGAGGGAAACAACCCAGACCGCCAGCUAAGGUCCCAAAGUCAUGGUUAAGUGGGAAACGAUGUGGGAAGGCCCAGACAGCCAGGAUGUUGGCUUAGAAGCAGCCAUCAUUUAAAGAAAGCGUAAUAGCUCACUGGUCGAGUCGGCCUGCGCGGAAGAUGUAACGGGGCUAAACCAUGCACCGAAGCUGCGGCAGCGACGCUUAUGCGUUGUUGGGUAGGGGAGCGUUCUGUAAGCCUGCGAAGGUGUACUGUGAGGUAUGCUGGAGGUAUCAGAAGUGCGAAUGCUGACAUAAGUAACGAUAAAGCGGGUGAAAAGCCCGCUCGCCGGAAGACCAAGGGUUCCUGUCCAACGUUAAUCGGGGCAGGGUGAGUCGACCCCUAAGGCGAGGCCGAAAGGCGUAGUCGAUGGGAAACAGGUUAAUAUUCCUGUACUUGGUGUUACUGCGAAGGGGGGACGGAGAAGGCUAUGUUGGCCGGGCGACGGUUGUCCCGGUUUAAGCGUGUAGGCUGGUUUUCCAGGCAAAUCCGGAAAAUCAAGGCUGAGGCGUGAUGACGAGGCACUACGGUGCUGAAGCAACAAAUGCCCUGCUUCCAGGAAAAGCCUCUAAGCAUCAGGUAACAUCAAAUCGUACCCCAAACCGACACAGGUGGUCAGGUAGAGAAUACCAAGGCGCUUG
rnacentral:rRNA from 1 species